rnacentral:rRNA from 1 species
UACGGAGGAUGCGAGCGUUAUCCGGAUUUACUGGGUGUAAAGGGAGCGUAGGUGGCAAGGCAAGUCAGAUGUGAAAACCCGGGGCCCAACCCCGGGAGUGCAUUUGAAACUGUCUGGCUAGAGUGCAGGAGAGGUAAGUGGAAUUCCUAGUGUAGCGGUGAAAUGCAUAGAUAUCACGAAGAACUCCGAUUGCGAAGGCAGCUCACUGGACUGCAACUGACACUGAGGCUCGAAAGUGUGGGUAUCAAACAGG